ACUUGAUUCCCACGCGAUCUCUGAAGUUAAGCAACGUCGUGUUUACUCAGUAUGUCGAUGGGUGACCGCAUGGGAAUACAAGGUGUUGCAAGC